ACGUCAAAUUAAGACCAAGAAACAGCAACAACAAGACAAGAAAGAAGAUCUUUUGUCUGAUCAGUGAUUCUGUUUAUAAUGUGU
rnacentral:sRNA from 1 species